rnacentral:rRNA from 1 species
UACGGAGGGUGCAAGCGGUAAUCGGAAUUACUGGGCGUAAAGCGCACGCAGGCGGUUUGGUAAGUCAGCUGUGAAAUCCCCGGGCUCAACCUGGGAACUGCAUCUGAUACUGGCAAGCUUGAGUCUCGUAGAGGGGGGUAGAAUUCCAGGUGUAGCGGUGAAAUGCGUAGAGAUCUGGAGGAAUAACGGUGGCGAAGGCGGCCCCCUGGACGAAGACUGACGCUCAGGUGCGAAAGCGUGGGGAGCAAACAGG